GACGUAGGGGGCGAGCGUUGUCCGGAUUCACUGGGCGUAAAGGGCGUGUAGGCGGUUACGUAAGUCCGGCGUGAAAACCCACGGCUCAACCGUGGACCUGCGUCGGAGACUGCGUUGACUAGAGGACGGUAGAGGCAGGUGGAACUAGCGGUGUAGCGGUGAAAUGCGCAGAUAUCGCUAGGAACGCCGGUGGCGAAGGCGAUCUGCUGGGCCGUUCCUGACGCUGAGGCGCGAAAGCUAGGGGAGCGAACCGGAUUAGAAACCCGAGUAGUCC
rnacentral:rRNA from 1 species